AGUGAACGCUGGCGGUAGGCCUAACACAUGCAAGUCGAACGGCAGCACAGUAAGAGCUUGCUCUUACGGGUGGCGAGUGGCGGACGGGUGAGGAAUACAUCGGAAUCUACUUUUUCGUGGGGGCUAACGUAGGGAAACUUACGCUAAUACCGCAUACGACCUACGUGUGAAAGCAGGGGAUCUUCGGACCUUGCGCGAUUGAAUGAGCCGAUGUCGGAUUAGCUAGUUGGCGGGGUAAAGGCCCACCAAGGCGACGAUCCGUAGCUGGUCUGAGAGGAUGAUCAGCCACACUGGAAGUGAGACACGGUCCAGACUCCUACGGGAGGCAGCAGUGGGGAAUAUUGGACAAUGGGCGCAAGCCUGAUCCAGCCAUACCGCGUGGGUGAAGAAGGCCUUCGGGUUGUAAAGCCCUGUUGUUGGGAAAGAAAAGCAGCAGGUUAAUACCCCGCUGUUCUGACGGUACCCAAAGAAUAAGCACCGGCUAACUUCGUG
rnacentral:rRNA from 1 species